AUUGAACGCUGGCGGCAUGCCUAACACAUGCAAGUCGAACGUGAACGAGUAGCAAUACUUUAGUAAAGUGGCGGACGGGUGAGUAAUGCAUAGGAAUCUGCCCUAGAGUGGGGGAUAACCUACCGAAAGGUGGGCUAAUACCGCAUGAUUUCUACGGAAUAAAGGGGCCGAAGCAAUUCGGUUUUGCUUUAGGAUGAGCCUAUGUCGGAUUAGCUAGUUGGUAAGGUAAUGGCUUACCAAGGCGACGAUCCGUAGCUGGUCUGAGAGGACGAUCAGCCACAUUGGGACUGAGACACGGCCCAAACUCCUACGGGAGGCAGCAGUGGGGAAUAUUGGACAAUGGGGGAAACCCUGAUCCAGCAAUGCCGCGUGUGCGAUGAAGGCCUGCGGGGUGUAAAGCACUUUCGGUAAGAAAGAAAUAUUAAACCCUAAAUCGUUAAA
rnacentral:rRNA from 1 species